GCUUCAGUAGUCGAAUUGGCAUAGACAACAGGCUUAGACCCUGAAAUUUGAGAGUUCGAGUCUCUCCUGAAGUA
rnacentral:tRNA from 1 species